UUCAUUUGAUUCAGUAGGGGGCCAGUGAGAGGGGAGUCAAAGAAGGAAUACUAGUUUUUGACCUGAGUGACUAGACAAAGGUGCCGUUAAAAGAAAUGAAGCUCACUGAAGGAAGUCCUCGUAGCGGCUUGUUUGUGAGGGAAAAUGCCAUUUGGUUUUGGUCAUUUGGAGUUGGAAGGCAUUGUUGGAUAUCCAGGUAUGAGUAAAGCUUGGGUGGUAAGAGUUGGCGAUUCCCCUUUAGCAUGGACAUGAUGGCUGAAGUCGGAGGAUUAUUCCAGGAAGAGCACAGACAGGCAGAUUCAUGCGGGGUCUCAAUGUGUUUGUCACUGUGUCUAGGGGACCAGUGUUUAGAUAAUAAUGGGGUAGAGAUCACAGAGGAUGCUUUUGGAGCCCUUAAGUUUUUAGGGGGUAUAUGCACGUGUGUGUGUGUGUGUGUGUGUGUGGCAAAAAGAUACUGUCCUUCAAUGAGUUAGUGAUUUCCUGUUUUAUCUUCUGCAGUUUUUAUAGUGGAAGGCAGGGGGCAGCAGAGUCCCACUUUUCAAAGGAGAUUCCGGCCACAACUUCAGAAGAAACGUUGCUCCCCACCCCCUCCCGCAACUUGUAUCUUUUUUGUUAACGAUUCCAUAUCCCCUUUUUAAAAGUUGGAGAACAUAAUUUGAUUCCAAAAUUUCUGUCUUUGGGAACAGCAUUCGGAUCUGAAGGCUAGCUUUGGGCAAGCGUGCCUCCAAGCUGAAUGUAUCAACUUCUUUUAAAGAAAAGGAGUUAAGAACUUAUUUACUGGUGAUGGCCUGAUGCUAUUUCAGUAGAAGGCUUGGUGUUGGACUGGAAUUGCAGAUUUUUAGCGUGAGGGCUGACUCUAUCCUGGAGACUACCGUUGGUAUUUAAAGAAAAGAAAUUAGGCCCGCCAGAGCCGCAUUCUUGAGAUACCUUUACUAUUACAGUUAUAGUCAUGGGCUCUGCUCUGCUGUCUUCCAGCAGGUGAUGUCAUCGCUGGUCACAGAACAGUGGGGCCUACUGCUGACCUGCAGCGUGCAGGUCACUCUGGGCCCCGGGGCUGUGCUCCCAGGCUUGCUUCUCUGUGGUCUGCUUUGUUACACACACAAGGACCACAUCUACCUGUAUAUUGCUGUGUCUGGCACAGGAGAAAGAACUGACUAAACUCAUUCAUAUGAAGACACAAGUGACUGCAGCCCCUCUCAAGAUCAAUUGCAUUUUAAUAGGUGUUUAAUGCUGUAGCUAAAGGAAGAAAGCUCUAAAUGUGGGAGUUGAGUACCAAGGACAGGGUGACUGUUUGAUCCUGUCCAAAAACAUGUCAUAAAUCCUCCUUGAUCCCUACUCUCCAUGCUUGGAAGAAUGGUGCUAUUUCUGUUAUAAUUGUGCAUUAUAGCUACAUUCUCAUACCUCUGGACAAGGUAAAUAUAGGCUAGUUGUCCAAUUUGUAUUUAUCUGAUUUCACUAAGAGUGGUACACUAUGCAUUAUAAUUAAAUUUGGGAACAGAACCUAUGCUCACAGAAUAGGCUCCCAAAUUUUAUUCUUUUGAGGUAAACCCCAGGUCCAGUGCUACAACACUUAGGUCUGUCUUGUGAAUCCCCCUAUGGUGAAAUGUGUCUUUAUUUGUCUUUGUGCACUGCUUUGGUAAAUGCUCAUGGAACAAAAAACUGGAUUCUCACUAAAUAUAUGUCUAUUUUAGGGGCACCUGGGUGACUCAGUCAGUUAAGUGGUCAACUUCAGCUCAGGUCAUGAUCUCACGGUUUGUGAGUUCGAGCUCUGAGCUGUCAGCACAGAGCCUGGAGCCUGCUUCAGAUUCUAUGUCUCCCUCUCUCUCUGUCCCUCCCCUGCUUGUGUGCUCUCUCUCUCUC